GUCCCAGUAGUAUAACUAUUACCCUGGUCUUGUAAACCAUAGAUGAGGCAAAUACGCCUCCUAGGACA
rnacentral:tRNA from 1 species